AUUGAACGCUGGCGGCAGGCUUAACACAUGCAAGUCGAGCGGGGGAAGGUAGCUUGCUACCUAACCUAGCGGCGGACGGGUGAGUAAUGCUUAGGAAUCUGCCUAUUAGUGGGGGACAACAUUCCGAAAGGAAUGCUAAUACCGCAUACGUCCUACGGGAGAAAGCAGGGGAUCUUCGGACCUUGCGCUAAUAGAUGAGCCUAAGUCGGAUUAGCUAGUUGGUGGGGUAAAGGCCUACCAAGGCGACGAUCUGUAGCGGGUCUGAGAGGCUUAUCCCCCACAUUGGGACUGAGACACGGCCCAAA
rnacentral:rRNA from 1 species